rnacentral:rRNA from 1 species
GAUGAACGCUGGCGGCGUGCCUAAUACAUGCAAGUCGAGCGAACAGACGAGGAGCUUGCUCCUCUGACGUUAGCGGCGGACGGGUGAGUAACACGUAGAUAACCUACCUAUAAGACUGGGAUAACUUCGGGAAACCGGAGCUAAUACCGGAUAAUAUAUUGAACCGCAUGGUUCAAUAGUGAAAGACGGUUGCGGUCACAUUUAUAGGUAUCCGCGCCGCAUUAGCUAGUUGGUAAGGUAACGGCUUACCAAGGCAACGAUACGUAGCCGACCUGAGAGGGUGAUCGGCCACACUGGAACUGAGACACGGUCCAGACUCCUACGGGAGGCAGCAGUAGGGAAUCUUCCGCAAUGGGCGAAAGCUUGACGGAGCAACGCCGCGUGAGUGAUGAAGGUCUUCGGAUCGUAAAACUCUGUUAUUAGGGAAGAACAAAUGUGUAAGUAACUAUGCACGUCUUGACGGUACCUAAUCAGAAAGCCACGGCUAACUACGUG